rnacentral:tRNA from 1 species
GCUGGUGUAGCUCAAUUGGCAGAGCAGCUGAUUUGUAAUCAGCAGGUUGCAGGUUCGAUUCCCGUCACCAGCUCCA